AGAGUUUGAUCCUGGCUCAGAUUGAACGCUGGCGGCAGGCCUAACACAUGCAAGUCGAGCGGAUGAAGGGAGCCUGCUCCUGGAUUCAGCGGCGGACGGGUGAGUAAUGCCUAGGAAUCUGCCUGGUAGUGGGGGAUAACGUCCGGAAACGGGCGCUAAUACCGCAUACGUCCUGAGGGAGAAAGUGGGGGAUCUUCGGACCUCACGCUAUCAGAUGAGCCUAGGUCGGAUUAGCUAGUUGGUGGGGUAAAGGCCUACCAAGGCGACGAUCCGUAACUGGUCUGAGAGGAUGAUCAGUCACACUGGAACUGAGACACGGUCCAGACUCCUACGGGAGGCAGCAGUGGGGAAUAUUGGACAAUGGGCGAAAGCCUGAUCCAGCCAUGCCGCGUGUGUGAAGAAGGUCUUCGGAUUGUAAAGCACUUUAAGUUGGGAGGAAGGGCAGUAAGUUAAUACCUUGCUGUUUUGACGUUACCAACAGAAUAAGCACCGGCUAACUUCGUGCCAGCAGCCGCGGUAAUACGAAGGGUGCAAGCGUUAAUCGGAAUUACUGGGCGUAAAGCGCGCGUAGGUGGUUCAGCAAGUUGGAUGUGAAAUCCCCGGGCUCAACCUGGGAACUGCAUCCAAAACUACUGAGCUAGAGUACGGUAGAGGGUGGUGGAAUUUCCUGUGUAGCGGUGAAAUGCGUAGAUAUAGGAAGGAACACCAGUGGCGAAGGCGACCACCUGGACUGAUACUGACACUGAGGUGCGAAAGCGUGGGGGAGCAAACAGGAUUAGAUACCCUGGUAGUCCACGCCGUAAACGAUGUCGACUAGCCGUUGGGAUCCUUGAGAUCUUAGUGGCGCAGCUAACGCGAUAAGUCGACCGCCUGGGGAGUACGGCCGCAAGGUUAAAACUCAAAUGAAUUGACGGGGGCCCGCACAAGCGGUGGAGCAUGUGGUUUAAUUCGAAGCAACGCGAAGAACCUUACCUGGCCUUGACAUGCUGAGAACUUUCCAGAGAUGGAUUGGUGCCUUCGGGAACUCAGACACAGGUGCUGCAUGGCUGUCGUCAGCUCGUGUCGUGAGAUGUUGGGUUAAGUCCCGUAACGAGCGCAACCCUUGUCCUUAGUUACCAGCACCUCGGGUGGGCACUCUAAGGAGACUGCCGGUGACAAACCGGAGGAAGGUGGGGAUGACGUCAAGUCAUCAUGGCCCUUACGGCCAGGGCUACACACGUGCUACAAUGGUCGGUACAAAGGGUUGCCAAGCCACGAGGUGGAGCUAAUCCCAUAAAACCGAUCGUACUCCGGAUCGCAGUCUGCAACUCGACUGCGUGAAGUCGGAAUCGCUAGUAAUCGUGAAUCAGAAUGUCACGGUGAAUACGUUCCCGGGCCUUGUACACACCGCCCGUCACACCAUGGGAGUGGGUUGCUCCAGAAGUAGCUAGUCUAACCGCAAGGGGGACAAUUACCACGGAGUGAUUCAUGACUGGGGUGAAGUCGUAACAAG
rnacentral:rRNA from 1 species